UACGUAGGGUGCAGGCGUUAAUCGGAAUUACUGGGCGUAAAGCGUGCGCAGGCGGUCUUUUAAGUCAGAUGUGAAAUCCCCGGGCUUAACCUGGGAACUGCGUUUGAAACUGGAAGGCUAGAGUGUGGCAGAGGGGGGGUGGAAUUCCACGUGUAGCAGGUGAAAUGCGUAGAGAUGUGGAGGAACACCGAUGGCGAAGGCAGCCCCCUGGGCUAACACUGACGCUCGAUGCACGAAAGCGUGGGGAGCAAACAGG
rnacentral:rRNA from 1 species